UGAGUAACCUGCCCUUAACUCUGGGAUAAGCCUGGGAAACUGGGUCUAAUACCGGAUAUGACUCCUCAUCGCAUGGUGGGGGGUGGAAAGCUUUAUUGUGGUUUUGGAUGGACUCGCGGCCUAUCAGCUUGUUGGUGAGGUAAUGGCUCACCAAGGCGACGACGGGUAGCCGGCCUAAGAGGGCGACCGGCCACACUGGGACUGAGACACGGCCCAGACUCCUACGGGAGGCAG
rnacentral:rRNA from 1 species